rnacentral:rRNA from 2 species
UUCGGUGGUCAUAGCGUGAGGGAAACGCCCGGUUACAUUCCGAACCCGGAAGCUAAGCCUUUCAGCGCCGAUGGUACUGCAUGCGGGAGCGUGUGGGAGAGUAGGACGCCGCCGAAC